rnacentral:rRNA from 1 species
UACGGAGGAUGCAAGCGUUAUCCGGAUUUACUGGGUUUAAAGGGUGCGUAAGCGGCUUUGUAAGUCAGUGGUGAAAUCCCGCAGCUUAACUGCGGAACUGCCAUUGAUACUGCUUUGCUUGAGUACAGUUGAGGUAGGCGGAAUAUGUCAUGUAGUGGUGAAAUACUUAGAUAUGACAUAGAACACCGAUUGCGAAGGCAGCUUGCUAAACUGUAACUGACGCUGAGGCACGAAAGCGUGGGGAGCAAACAGG